rnacentral:rRNA from 1 species
GACGUAGGAUGCAAGCGUUGUCCGGAUUUAUUGGGCGUAAAGAGUUCGUAGGCUGUUUGUUAAGUCUGAUGUUAAAGACUGGGGCUCAACCUCGGAAAUGCAUUGGAUACUGGCAGACUGGAGUGCAGUAGAGGCUAGUGGAAUUCCCAGUGUAGCGGUGAAAUGCGUAGAUAUUGGGAAGAACACCGGUGGCGUAGGCGACUAGCUGGGCUGUAACUGACGCUGAGGAACGAAAGCCAGGGGAGCGAAUGGGAUUAGAUACCCCAGUAGUCCUGGCCGUAAACGAUGGAUACUAGGCGUAGUGGGUAUCGACCCCUGCUGUGCCGCAGCUAACGCGAUAAGUAUCCCGCCUGAGUAGUACGGCCGCAAGGUUG